rnacentral:lncRNA from 1 species
CGGUGUAUUCCUCGCAAAAAAGUCCUUCCCGUCAACGCGGCUGCUAACCUGGAAUCACUUAUGCAGAGCAGGCCAGAGCUCGUCGGCGAGUGAGCGAGAGAGGGAGGUGAUGGCCCCUUAUUCGUUUGUGCCUCGUUGCGGCUGCCUGCGUUUUUCACGCAGUAGGAGAAGGCCGGUCAGUUCCGCUUCCCCGUGUUUGUGCGUUGCUUUUUUUUUUUGGGUUAUGUCUGUGCGAGGACUGUCGAUUUAGCUGGCAUAUGCUUUGAUCUGCAUCAUCAGUGCACAUUCUUUCUUUGGACUGCAAUCAAGGAUUGAUUUAGCUGGUAUAUGCUUAGAUCCGCAUCAUCUGUGCGAGGACUAUCGAUCGAAUGGAGUCAACUGUUUUCCUUUCCUUUUGCUUUCGUUUUUCUUUAUUCUUUCCAAAGCAACUUUAUCGUCUCGGAUCAGAACAUCCUAGUAGUCAAGAAGACCCUAUGCCUUCACUUUUUACUUUUGCUACUCUGCGGAAAUUAUCCAACACGAAGUGGCAACUUGUAAUAGGAGGCGGAGGCAGCGGUGGCGGCGACUGAGGC